rnacentral:ncRNA from 1 species
GGUUUCUAAACAGAGAAACAAUAGGGAAUUUAGUGUAAAUCUAAAACUGUACCCGCAGCUGUAUGCUUCAAUGCUUCAGGAUAAUUGCCACUGACACGAAUCGGGAAGGCGUCCUAAAGGGAAGUUAGUCAGAAGACCUGCCCGCAACCAU